rnacentral:lncRNA from 1 species
UUGUCUAGCUGACGGGUGGGCCGUGAUCAUCAGCGCCGGGCAGUCGCACGCCCCCUCUGCCUGCGUCUGCACCUCUCUCCCUCUUUCCGACGCACACGCGGGGGCUGUGACCACCCAGCUGGAGCCCUCCCCGACGUUGCUGCCCCAGUUGGACGUCACGACGUCUUGUCCUUACCUGGCACCAUCCCACCGUGCCUGGGCGGCCGGAACCAUGGUGAAGCCCAUGAAUGCUAGACUCGGGUCUCAAGGACCACACCUCCCCGGGGAUGGCCUAGGAGGGUUAAAGGAUACCGCUGGCAGGAACCUCCGGCAUCGUCUAGCGGUACCCCAUUACCUUUAUAGAGACAAAAAAGGACCUGACUUAUGUCUCACAGGACUACAUAUUUGAUGAUCAAUCUGAUGCAUUUCCAGGACCAGAGUUUCCAAUAUUUUCAAGGCUUGCGCCCCAUUCUUUGGGACUGUUUUAGAAGAGAAUAUCCCAGCAUUCAUGAGGAAAUGUUUGCUCAUGCACACAUGCACACACAGCACCGUUCUACCUUCUCAGUGAACUAGAGAGUGGCCAAAGGGAUGGAGGAAGAUCAUGAGCCCUGGCCAUGGCAUUCAGCAAGUCAGAUUCUCCAAGCUUUUGAAGUCAGGUCCCAAAGCUUCUGACUCCUAGUUUCAUGGAUUUCCCCUCUGCUUCCCUAUUUUUCCCAGCAGAGUUAAGCUUCAAUCUUCAAUCAAUUAGUGUGGAUGCCAACCAGAAUGCAGUGUUU